rnacentral:rRNA from 1 species
GAUGAACGCUGGCGGCGUGCUUACACAUGCAAGUCGAACGAAGCUGCCUGGAGGAAGUUUUUGGAUGGAAUUUAGGUAGACUUAGUGGCGGACGGGUGAGUAACGCGUGGAUAACCUGCCUUAUACAGGGGGAUAACGGAGAGAAAUUUCCGCUAACACCGCAUAAGACCACAGCACCGCAUGGUGCAGGGGCAAAAUAUUUAUAGGUAUAAGAUGGAUCCGCGUCCGAUUAGCUAGUUGGUGAGGUAAAGGCCCACCAAGGCGACGAUCGGUAGCCGGCCUGAGAGGGUGAACGGCCACAUUGGGACUGAGACACGGCCCAAACUCCUACGGGAGGCAGCAGUGGGGAAUAUUGGACAAUGGGGGAAACCCUGAUCCAGCGACGCCGCGUGAGUGAAGAAGUAUUUCGGUAUGUAAAGCUCUAUCAGCAGGGAAGAAAAUGACGGUACCUGACUAAGAAGCCCCGGCUAACUACGUGCCAGCAGCCGCGGUAAUACGUAGGGGGCAAGCGUUAUCCGGAUUUACUGGGUGUAAAGGGAGCGCAGACGGCAAUGCAAGUCUGAAGUGAAAGGCGUGGGCUCAACCCAUGAACUGCUUUGGAAACUGUAUAGCUUGAGUGUCGGAGGGGUAAGCGGAAUUCUUAGUGUAGCGGUGAAAUGCGUAGAUAUUAGGAGGAACACCGGAGGCGAAGGCGGCUUACUGGACGACAACUGACGUUGAGGCUCGAAGGCGUGGGGAGCAAACAGG